rnacentral:rRNA from 1 species
AUGAACGCUGGCGGCGUGCCUAAUACAUGCAAGUCGAGCGAACAGACGAGGAGCUUGCUCCUCUGACGUUAGCGGCGGACGGGUGAGUAACACGUGGAUAACCUACCUAUAAGACUGGGAUAACUUCGGGAAACCGGAGCUAAUACCGGAUAAUAUAUUGAACCGCAUGGUUCAAUAGUGAAAGACGGUUUUGCUGUCACUUAUAGAUGGAUCCGCGCCGCAUUAGCUAGUUGGUAAGGUAACGGCUUACCAAGGCAACGAUGCGUAGCCGACCUGAGAGGGUGAUCGGCCACACUGGAACUGAGACACGGUCCAGACUCCGACGGGAGGCAGCAGUAGGGAAUCUACCGCAAUGGGCGAAAGCUUGACGGAGCAACGCCGCGUGAGUGAUGAAGGUCUUCGGAUCGUAAAACGCUGUUAUUAGGGAAGAACAAAUGUGUAAGUAACUAUGCACGUCUUGACGGUACCUAAUCAGAAAGCCACGGCUAACUACGU